AUUACUGCAGAGAAUGUGGCAUCCUACAGGCCGCACGGUCGGAAUACCUGUUCUGCCCCUCCUAGAAGAACUGCAGCUGAAGCAGCUCAGGGUAGAAGAUGACCCCAGCUCUAUGGGCCAGCUGCAGUCUGCGGAAUUCUGGAGUGCUCUCAAAGGGGAUGUCCUACUGUGCUGCUUCCAAGCUGGACCUCCCUGCGGCACAGCCUGCGGGCAGAGCAGCGUUCGGUCGCCGUGCUCUGGAAGGAGUUACAGGAAGGUAUGGUAAGGCCUUUGAAUGGUUAAUGUUAACCUUUAACUCCUCAUUCUGCAGUCACGAUAUUGAGACAGAGAGGGGACACUUGCUUAAAUUGGCUUAUGUGCAGUUUGUUGCAGUAAAAUAGUUAGUAAAAUAAUUGCUUAUCAUGGGAGCAACAAAGUUUGCAGGGGAGUUGAGAUGUAGAAAAACUUGCAGUAGCAGAUUUUGCCUGUUCUGACCAUUCCUAUCCAAUGUCCAAGUUGAACACGUAUGCGAUGAAUGUGUUUCUGCUGCUAGAUAGCAUUCAUGAUAUUAAUACUUAGCUGAUGUUUAUUUUCAGGCUCUCUAUUUUAAGAAACUGACUCAGAUUUACAUGGGAUGAGUGCUUCUGGUAACAAAGCUCUUAAUGCAGAGCCCAGUUACUGGCAACGUUGGUGUGUUUUGUUGUAUAAACAACUUGCAUGGCACAAUAUCUAAAAACAGCCACUAGAACUGUGAACAAGGCACUGGCAUUUGUGCGCCCGUACAGCUUGAUUUGUAGUUGAGCUCUUUCUCUGUGUCCUGAAGGGCUGCAGUUGCAGCCAAGAAGGAUGCAGAGACCUCUGCUUGCAUGCUUUCAAAAGCUUUGAACUGCUGCAGUUCUAUUCUUGAUGACUGCUCUGUGCAGUGCUGUCUGGAUGGGCUCCAAGCUGCAGAAAUGGGUGGGGAGUUGAGACAAGGAUUGAUUUAGGAAGAGCCCUUACUGCAUGGGAGUCAUGUCAAGAGGAGUCAUAGUACUGCAGCAAUGCUAGAGGAAGUGUGGCCAGGGUAAAGAGAGAUGUGUCAUCACUGCUGUCCCUGUGCAGUUGCUUAUUUGUGAAGGCAGAUGCUGCUGCACGGACUUCCCUCCCUAUGCAGCACUGCAACCUGGGCACCCGAACUGGACCUCAUUGCUGGCUAGCUGGCAGUUUCAUUUCUUCUGCAGAUAUGAAGCAUGCAACAAAAAUAAAUACCUGCAAUCUGGGAAUCUAAGGAGGGAGGAAGAAAAGAUCUCUUGAACAGCUUGAGCAAAGUGACUGUUCUCCUUGUGAACUGGUAGGAAAAAGCAUGAUGAGCAACUCCUGCUGUGCUUCUGAAGGACUCCUGCAUCUGCACUCAUCCUUACUGCUGCAGCCCUGUGACCUGGGUGCCUGCAGCCCUGGUGGAAUAUCUGCCAUGGAAUGAACAUGCAUGUGGUGAUGCCUCAGGGGCUGCUGGCUGCCUGUCCCCCAGCAGAGGGAGGCAGCCGUAUGCGGAGUUGCGUGCAUGCAGCAGCUCUGUGCUCUGUCAACCUUCCUCUAAUUAAAAAAAAAAAAAAAAUCCCUCACCAAAAAGAGUCAUAUCUCUUGCUGCUUAAUGAUAAAGCCUUUGAAUAGCAGAGAUUUGCUACCUGUAAUUGCUCCAGCUAAUCCUACCAGCAAGCACUGUCCUUCACCUCGGCUACUAUUCUUAGUUCAGUCCCCGUUGGAUGCUUGACAGGGUAAAUGCUAAGGAAAGAUUAAUUGAAUGAGAGAAUUUGAAAGUAUUUUCAUGUAAAGCCAUGCAAGAGAUUGAUGGAGACCCUGCUCUCCUUCUUUUCUGCAAGAGGUGAAGUGGCAGUGUGGUGAGUCAUGUCUUGGAUACAGGAUGGAGAUCAACAAACUGGCUGCACUCUGUGGAGAGAGUAGGUAAUCUCCCUGUACUUACAUAUCUUUCUUAGCUAGCAUUAAAACCUGCUGCCAACAUCUGACGCGGUAGAAGUUUUUAAUUAAUGCAUGAUAUUGUGAUUAGGGAUAACUGUGCAGGUAAUAUAUGAGUUCAGGUCAAUCUCCUGUUGUAUCAUAGUUCUUUGAGAGUGGAAAGGAUCCACUGAAGUAAUCUGACAGCUGAGCAGUGAUAAAUCAUUUAGCUAGUCUAAUAGCUUGCUGGGUUGAACCAGAGUGCUGGAAAGGUGAAUCACCUUCAUUUGAAGAUUAAAUAAACCACUAUUGGCUAGCUACUGAAUUUCAGUCCCUAUCGUCCUGUCAGAGUUUCUCUGUUUAGUUGAAGCUGCAUCUCUGCAGUUGGCCUUCAGCUGGGGUUUUUCUGCCUCCAUCUGCUGCAGUUGUGCAGCAGCAUUCAGCAUUUCUCUCUGAGAAGUGCUUCCUACCCUGUAAGCAGGUUGCCUGAAGGCAGCUUGGUUUAGCAAUAAGGGCACUCACUGUCAGUGAGAUGGGUUCAAGUGCUUCUUAAGAGUCAUAGGGCCUUAAACUCUCAUCAAGUGUAAGCUGAGCUGUAACUACUGUUAGCUGCUUUCUGAGCUCUGGAGAGCUUCCACUGGUGAGACCCGUCCUGUAUGAGCCUGGGAAGGAUUAUGGCUCUGAAGUGGCAACAGCUCUUUCAGGUUAGAGGCAGCAGUUGCCCUUUGUGGGGCAGGAUGCCAAUCUGCCUUCAAAAACUGUUCAGUGAUGGUGCCAGCAUGCCUGUGAGAAGCCUUGGAUUGCUGGCUUCCAGAUAUGUGCACUUUUUAAUGAUGUUGUUAAGCUUAAUCUUUCUAUUCAACUAUGAAGUGUCUGAACUGUGCGGGCAGCCAUCAGAAUUCCCUUGUUCUGUGGUGGCUGCAAAUAAAGUGUAUUCACAGCAUUUAGACGUCCUUUGGUUAUGUCAGACUAAUACCCACCUGUUCUUGCCAAGUCUCAAGCAUUUGGCUUCAAACCCUGCAUUCAGAGAUAGCUUCCAGGCCUGCCUUAACCUGUGGUGAUACCAUAAUGCCAACCCCAAGGAACCAGCAGCCUGGAGCUGGCUCAGCCUCAGGUGUGUGCCUGGGGAUGCUCCUCUGCAGCUGCAGCCUGGGUGAGGCGAUGCAGGGAUGAACAGCUGGGCUGCUCUACGGGACCAGGGGAUCACAGCACAGAGUGGUUGGGACAACUUCAUGCACACAAGAGUAGAGAUUAAUCCAAGCUGUCUCAAUGCAGUGUGGUUCCCUCAGCCACCUCUCAUCUUUCUAGCUAUUGUUGCCUUUUUAAUUUUUUGCAAGCUUUGUGUUCAGUUGGGCUAUCAGAAUCAGCUCUUGCUGGACACUGCCUUGCUGAGUGGGGGCACUCAACCUCUGGUGAAAGCUUUGGUGUUUGUGGCACUUUCUAAAUUGAAGCUGCAGUCAAUUGCUGUUUGUAAAUAUGCCAACAAGUAAGUACUUGUUUAUAUAAAAACUGUGGGAAUUGUUAGCUUAGAGGCAGAGAUAAGACAUUUUUCAUUCUUUGGCAAACCAUUGCCUUGCUAACAGAGAUGCUGGCAUUUCAGGGCAGCUGGGCACAAACAUUCUCCUACAUUCAGCCCUUUUCUUGCUUCUAGAACAGACUUUUUUUCCCCCUACGCUUGUCACUCUGGCCAAGAGGACUUAGAAUCUAAGGGAGAAUGGUAAAUGUCUGGGCUGGAGCCUGUUUUAUAAACAUUUUUAUUCUUGCCCCUCUUCAAAAUAGGGAACUUGCAAAUUUCUUUUCCUAACGUACAGACUGAGACCAAGAGGCUGUGCAGUGCUGGGGAAGCAGAGCUCAGUCAGUGCAGCCUGACAGGGUCUGGCUGAGCUUGCAAAAGAGUGACUUGUCAAAUUAAUUAUUUUUUAAUAAAUAAAACCUUCGGAGCAGCCUGCAGACCAACAUUGUAGCGAAGGGUUCAUCUGGAGGAACUGAAAGCAACAGGGUUGAGAGGAAGCAGAUGCGGGACGUUCUUGCAUCCACUGUGCAACAGCAAUUAACAGCUGUUGGGGAUCGAGGUGCCCCGGCUCUCCUGCAGCCUGGCACGGGAGCCGGGAUCGCAGUUUGGGGCGGGCUGGCAGGGAAAAGCCUUCGCCCCCCUGCGGCCGGUGGAUGCGGCACGAGUCCCAGUAGUGUCAUCAGGGACCGCGCUGUGACCGGAGCUGCGUUACGUUGCUUUGCUAAGGGAGAGUCCCGCAUUCAUCCCCACGUGGCUUUCCUCGGGGGAGAUGAAAGCCAGCCCUCGCUGCCACGCGGUGAGCCGGGGCGGGCAGCGGGGCUGGAGCUGUGCGAGCCGGCAGCCUGGGGGAGAGGCUUCCGUGGGGCUUGUCCGGGCUUGUCGGGCCUCGGCCCGGCCCCAGCCGUGCGCUCGCAGGGAUCGCCCCGCUCGAUACGGACGAGCCCCAGGUGCGGGCGGUGCCGCGCUGCCCGCCUGCUUUGCUGCACGGGAUGUGAGCGGCGCGGAGGUAGCUAUUGGAUUACACGGGAGGUGAAGGCUUGCUGGAAAGGAGUGGCUCAGAUGAGAAUUGAAGACACUAGGAGUCAUUUCAGAUCAGAGGUAAGCCAGUACCAGCCCAUUGGAGCCCAUUGAAGUACAUCUGUGUGCACCAGCGCAGGGCUGUGCUCUGGUGUUUGGUGGUGUUUACCAUUCUGCCUAUCGGGACAUCUCAGUGAGGUGGAUGGCUGUGAAGUUUUUCCUCUGUAUUUUGAAAAGAGGGCCGUGCUUAACUUUUUCACCCAUGAUACAAAAUCGUGUAAUUUGUGAGCAGGAUGUACCUCUGAUCUGUGCAGUCUGUUUUGGUAUUUUAUAUGCUGUGUCUAAGUGUGGUUUGGAGUUCCCACUUAGCCAAAGAGAGCUUGGUUGAUUACUGACUUAAUAACUUCUAUGUGGCAUGGGAUGCUUUUUAAUUUUUCAUUUAGUAGACUAGAGAUAAGAUGGGUCGUUUUGCAGGAGCCGAAAGGGAACAUGUACUGCUUGGUUACAAUGGCCAUUCUAGGGUAGCUUCCCUAGCUGUGCUGCAGGCAACACAGUGCCCUUCCCCAGCCUUGCUAUCAGUGCGCAUCUCAUCUGCUCGCACAGAUGGGAAAGCCAGAAAGUGCUGAAAGCAGUCGUGGUCUUCACAUCUCCCCCGUGGUUUGGUGGUGGAUGGGGAGCACCUUUCUGCAUAGAGGAUGAUGGCAACUUCUGUCUGUCUGUGUUUGGAAGAGAGGAAAGAGGCAAGUUCAGGAGGUUGAGAGAUCCUUCAUUCUGGCAAAGGAGGAAGCUGUGCUUGACAAGCAGGAAAGGACAGAACUGCUGUGACAAAGUGAAAUGUGUGCUGUGAGUCACUCUGGCGGUGUCUCCUUUGUCCCAGCAGAUGGAAUUGCAGGGGGCAUGUCAGAAACUUCUUGAUUUGGUUAACCUUGUCUUUCUCAGGCCUACCUAGGCUGUAAAACCACGGGCUUCUUGACUGGCAUGUGGAGGAGGCAUGAGCUGCUGACAGCUCUUGGAUCCGGGUUUAUGAUCUAUGGCGAAUGCUCAUGCAUUGCUUGGUUAAUGAGUCACGGGUGCUUAGGUGUGGUGCACAGCCCUGAGAGCUGCAGUGCACUGUGCUCUGCCCACCUCACAUACUGAAUAAGCAGGACUCCAGGACAGCCUGGUGUGCUUUGCUUUGCUGCAGAAUGGAGCCAGCCAGGGGAUGGAGUAACCUUACUUCCAGGAGCUAUUUUAGUAUUACAGCCUUGGAUAGAUGGUCUUUUUCAGGAGUCAUUGCUGGAGAGCAUUCUGCCCGUGCCACGUUUCCAGAGAUUAAUGCCACUUGUGUGGAUGUGAGAGCUAACUCAGCUGCUAGCAGAGCUGCGAGCUGUUUCUGUAAGCUCCAAAACAGCAGAUUUGUAAAGCCCUUCUCUAAGAUACCAUGCAGGAAGAUCCAGUGUUACAGCAUUUGACAAAUGGUCAUGGAGCAUAUAUGUUAGCUUCUGCUAAAGUCUUUGGGUGAUGAAAUUCAAUUUGUGUGGGUUUUGUUUAAGUUAGAUAAACUUUGGGAGUGAGGGAGCAUUGUGUAAAGGAGAGGGAAGAGAUAAUAUGUGGGAAGUUCAGUGUGUGAAACACCAAGGUGUGUCAGUUCUCUUGAUAACACAGGUGCUGGCUGUCCUGACGGUGAGACUGGGCUGUUUUAAGUAGAUUGCCAUUGAAGUGAAGAUAUGAGUGCUAGACAUCUCUGAGCUUCUUCAGGAAAGAGGAAACAAGGCCAUGAAAAGUUCCUUAAAUGGUGUUUGGAGGUGAAGAGCAGGAUAUACUAGGAUGCAGAAAUGGUGAGCAUUUUGCUUCACAGAUAAAGAAAAGUGAAAUCAAAAGAUAAGGUGCGCAGAAUCCUGGAAUGGACCUUAAAGAUCAUCCAGUUCCAACCCUUCUGCCAUGGGCCUCAUCUAAACUGCGUGUGGGGCAUCCACAGCUUCUCUGGGUACAGCCUUACCACCUGCAUAGUGAAGAACUUCCUUACUUCUAAUGUAAGUCUACCUUCUCUUAGAUGAAAGCUGUUACUCCUUGCCCUGUCACUGUGCUGCCUGGGAGCAGACCCCUCUCUAGCUUUAUUUUAGCCCCCGUUAGGAACUGGAAGGCUGCUGUAGUGUCUGCUCCUACCUGGCAAAUGAAUUGCUUAACUCUGCUGUGGAGGAAGGUACAAGUCCAGUGCGUGGUGUGUGGGAGGGUUUCUCCUGCACUGUAUGUGGAGGAGCUCAGUAAGCAAGGUGUAUGUUAAUUCCAUGGCUUUUUUUUUUGUUUUGAUGUGGGGAUUUAAUAUUGCAUAAGCCAGUGAGAUUAGCAAGGCCCAGCAAGACAUGCAAGUGAAGAUUGAUUUGGAUGAGAUGUGGUAGAUCUUAAUUCCCAUGCCUUUUAAGGGGUGGGAGAAGAUUGUUACUCUGAAGGAAACAGCGGUAUCCUUAAGUGCCCCAUGCUAUGAGAGCUUUAGUGUCAGUAUUGCUGGAUGGAUGAGGUGAGGUGAUUCUGGCUGAUAGACACAGCUGUCCUGUAGGUCACAGUAAUGUAACCUGCACUGCUUUCCUCAAUUUUCUCUACUAUAUCUCAGUUUCUCAGAGCGCAGAAAGGUUUGUGGGAAGAAGCUGCUGAGGCAGAUCUGGCUUCUAUGUGAUCAGGGGCUACAAAACUGCAGCUUGUUCCCUGCUCAGCUGCAGUAAGUGAGCCGGUGACCAGAGGCUGUGUUGCUCUGAGCUGAGUGGCCAGCUGAGAACCAGGAGGGCUUGGAAUGCGGCAGGCUGGGGCUCUGCCUUAUGCCCGCUGAUCUGCCUGCCGCUUACCCAUCCUGGGCAAUUUUUGCCUGUCUUUGUGCUUUACAGAAAGGAGUUGGUAGUGUGCUUUGCUUUCCCUUAGUUCUGCUUUGUUUCAGACAGCCUGUGACUCACUGCGAAGCUAUUGCCCCGUGUUCCUACAGCCUUGAGGCUGGCCUGGUGGCAGAAGGUGGGGUGGAGUUGCAGCUCUAUCAAGAAAGCCGGAACUGCCUGAGUUAGCAGUGGCUCUGAAUAACAAAGCAGGUGUCUGCACCUCCCUGGAGCACAGCGUCCCAACGCCGGCAGCGGGAGGCUGGAGUCUGUGCAGAGCUCCGAUGGACUUGGGGUGCUGCUGCCUGCAGGAUCACCUCCUACAGAACUGUAAGGAACAGGUAAAUCUCUCCUCUAGGGUUCUGUCAGUGCAUCUCACAAGGAAAGCUUCUCCUGUACGAUUAAUUGAAGGCAAACGGGAGGUGUUAAGCAGUUUGUCUUGUACUUGGGGGAGUAAUAUUCUGUAGGAAGCUGGGAGAUGAGAAGUGACAGAAGUAUGAUUGUGUUGAGCAAGCAUUGUAGGAGUUGUAACGUAGAACUGUUUCAUGGACAGCUUGUUUGCAUCCCUCAGGUGUUACAGUAGGAGAUAUUAUAAUAAAAACUAAUUUGUAAAAUUGAGGAGAAACUAACCCCAAACCCAAGAUCUGCAUAUUGUAGGGAUAUGUGUUAAAUCAAAGUCAGAAUUUAUCAAAUGUAUUAUCUUAAAAAGAGGAACCUGUCUUUUAUUACAAGUCAGGAAAACUGUUUGGAGAAAUAAGAUGUUUACUCUUCUACCUGAAGGCUGGUAAUAGCAAAGCCAAGCAGCUUUAGGAGAUGGAACAGAAUUUGCUCUUGUUCUGCAGCCGCUGCUGGAGGUUUGCUACAGCUUGAAGAUGGUUUUUCUUGGCAUGGAAGUUCAUCCUAGUCAGCAGAAUAGGCUCAGCUAGACACAGCUUUUGAUUCUGUGGUGUAGAAAUGGACAACGUUGCUGAAAUACCUGUACGAAGAUUGAGUCUCCUGAUCUAGUUUAGAAAUUAGUCUUGCUUUAGGUAGGCCCUUGAGCUGGCUGAUGUGCAGGAGUGUCUUCUAACAUAAAUAUUUCUGAACUUUGAUAAGUGUCAUUUAAUCGUUUCAUUUGGAUUUCCUCCUGUUGCUGAGUUUCACCCAGAAGUUUCACAGGUGAAAGUUGAAGCUUUGCUUUGCCUUAAAACAAGAGUACUUGAAUCCCCAGUGAGAGAGGAUCUGCUUGCAUCAGCUUCCAGCAGUUGUUUCCACCUUCAGAAAAACCCUGGGUAAUUGUUCAGGUAUCAACUCAAGGCUUGUGAGUGGGUCAGUUGCAGCUUAAAACUCCCCUUGACAAAAGGAAGAUGACAAUGCUGGGAGUGAACUUGAAAUAAAUGUGCUUGAUGAAAUGCAGCUUAUGGUAUCGCAUAGCUCAGUGAUGACAGUGAUUCUGCAAAUCUUACCUGACUGGACUUUUUACCUUUCUUGGAAUGCAGUAUUUCCGUAACGGGAGAGAAUUACCGUCCUCCACACCCCUCAGCUUGCUUUAUAGUGGUGCUUUCUUUACAAGCCAAUUCAGUGUACUGUUAUGUGAUCCAGCAAACUUGUUCCUGCUGCUUUGUCACCCACAGGGUAACACUGAGGUCACUGUGAAGUGAAGCAAGUCUUAUGUUAUCUAGUCUAAAGGGGAAACUGCCUUAUGAGGGGGAAUUUGUAGCCCUUACCUGGUAAAUACAGGUAAAAGUGUGAUGUGUAAGCUUCCAGUGACACCCCUGGCCUUGAGAUUGUACUCCAGCAUGCUAACCUGCUCUAUGCUGUCGUUGUUUCCAGUGUCAAUUCAUAAAGCAGAAUGCUGUCCCUGUGUACACAAUAACAGUAAAUUUGCCUGAUACUUGGACUAAAGAGAGACGAAAAAGAUUUGGUGUUGCACAAGCUGCUGAACCAAGAGAGGUCCUCAGCUGAUUGACCAGCAUUUCUGUACAGUUCUCCCAGCUCCAGACUAGCCAGACUGCUUGGUUUCCCUGUGAGACUUCAAAGCUAGCUGUCCAUGCCCUCCCACAGCAGUAGAAAGUUUCAACUGAGUGUUUCAUUUGUGCUUUUCCUAAAGCAAUGGAACUCCUACAGGAUGAAAAGGCUUACAGUCAAGAAGUGAUUUGUUAAUUAAUCGCUGCUGUCUUCUGGGACACAGGGAAUGGAGCCGCUGUUCUGUUAGGCAGUGCCUGUGUCACACAAGACUCCCUAGGUGUAAUAACCUGCUUGUGAGGCUAUGAUGCAAGAGUUGAGGAACUGCUUUGCCCUGAAGGUUGCCUUCUCACAUGCUCAGAUGUUUCCAGGAACUGAGGAGUGCAGGAUUGCUAGAUAACACCACAUCUAGAGCAUCUCAGGCUGUUCUACAUGGAUGAUAGGGAAGUCAAAUGGCUUUAAUACAUACUCUUGCCUUCUGUGAAUGAGAAGAAAGGAGAAGACUGAACAUGCUGCCCUAACUUCUCUCCUUGCGUGAUGCCAGCUACGUGAACAUAAUUGCACCAAUUACAGGGAGUUGUGCAACUUUACGAACUGUCUGUAAAAGUUCUGCACUUAGAAGAUGGGUGGCCAGAAGGGAGCAGAGUAUCCUUCUGUUGCAACUCUUCUGAAACUUCAUCUCUACCUUUGCAGGGUUUGUCAUGAGGCAAAUGUUUUGAGCUAGUACACCAGCUUUCCUGACCAGCUAUUACUUUUGAUGGCUUUUUAGCUUUAGGUUUAUUCUUCAUAGAGCAAAGAUAGCAGUCAGUCCCACGCUUUCUGGGGAGAAGCAGGAUGUGGUUCUGCUUUUUAACUUUACUGCAUUAUAGGUAAUAAAUGGCUUUAAAAAAAUCACUGCACUGCAGAGUGCCUCUCUGUAUUCUCUGUAAGUGCUUUUUAUAGUGCUCUUGGCCAAAACAGUGCUACUCUGUAUGAUACAAUGACUGGAAUGUGGUUGGGGCAAUGGUCAAACAUUUGGGGCUCAACCUGUCUCACUUACUCUGUAAUUCCUGAGCAACUUUGUGUUAAUAAAGUUAGUAGGUUUGAAUUCCAGUAUAUAACAAUGCUUUGAACCUUAACUUUGGUGUGGUAGUGUUCAAACCAGGAUGGGUAGUAGUGUGUCUCUGACAGUGUGGGUGUCAUUGCAAAUUAUAUUCCAUGUGCUCUCUGCUACCUUGGGAAGGAACCCAUGAUGCAAACAGUACUGAAAACUAAGUGUCAUUGAUGUGAUGUGCCUGAUUCCCUGGUUAGACAAAUGGUAACAGUUGCCCACAAGUGUGGAACCUGAGCAAUCAGCAUCUGCAUAUGGUUUAAAUUGCAAACCUUUUGCUUGGCUCACUGAAGGAGGGUGAGGAGUACAACGUGGUGCUUUACUGCAUGUUUCCAGAAUCUGAAGAUGACUCUGAACUGUAGUGGUUGAGUGGUCUCAUGUUAAUGAAAGAGCUAAUCUCCUGAGCUCUGUUUUACACCGUUUCCCCUUAGCAGAAUUGUCUCUUUGCUGCUUUGCACUUCAGAUGACUUGUGUGAAGAUUUGAAUAAGGCUUCUGGCACAGGGACCAGAGAAGCUGGCAAACCUUGUGACUUCCACUUGAGGGGACUUCUUAUUAGCUUCUAUAUCCUUGUCUCAGCUGUGUUAAAACCACAGGCUCUAAGCAGAGCUUUCUGUCAUGUGAUACUGUGUAUACUUCUAAGUCAAUUUAUGGUAACGUUGCACCCCCAAAAUACAAGCGUUCAGCCUAUUUUCUUGUUGCUAUUGUUGUCUUCUAAGAAAAACACAUGGACAACAACUCCUACGUCUCAGAUGUGGUAUUUUUGUUUGACUGUGAGUGCCUUUAUUUUUGUUCAACCACAGCAAGCAGGAACAUCCCAUAUUAAUCUCCUAAUUUAAAUUUGAAAUGAAAAACUGUCACAACACUGGGGCCAUCCUUAAUUCAUGGAUUGUGCUGGCUGCACUCCAGCAGUGUAGCUAAUUACAUUCUGCCCACAUCAAGCUGUCCUUGCUGCGGUGGCUUUUUUUUUGUCAGUUGCUGGCUUGAAUUUUUGUGUAGUCUCUGCAGCCUGACUUCACAUUUUCAGUGCUAAUGGAAAGCUGCUUACAAUGACUAAGCAUCUCUCCCUGAAAGGGAAGCCCUUGGGUUGCUGGGCAGAGGCAGCACAGAGCUGGGUCGCAGCAAGCUGCCUUGGUUUGGUAGCUGUGUGCACUCAGCUCUG